CCCGCACAAGCAGCGGAGCGUGUGGUUUAAUUCGAUGUUACACGAAGAACCUUACCAGGGUUUGACAUGCAAGUGGUAGGAAGCCGAAAGGUGACCGACCCUUCGGGGAGCUUGCACAGGUGCUGCAUGGCUGUCGUCAGCCCGUGUCGUGAGAUGUUCGGUUAAGUCCGCUAACGAGCGCAACCCUCGCUGUGUGUUAUAUGUGUCACACGGGACUGCCGGUCUUAAGCCGGAGGAAGGUGGGGAUGAUGUCAAGUCAGCAUGGCCUUUAUAUCCUGGGCUACACACACGCUACAAUGGCCAACACAAUAGGUUGCUAAGCCGCGAGGUGGCGCCAAUCCAUAAAGUUGGUCUCAGUUCAGAUUGUAGGCUGCAACCCGCCUGCAUGAAGAUGGAGUUGCUAGUAACCGCAGGUCAGCUAUACUGCGGUGAAUACGUUCCCGGGGCUU
rnacentral:rRNA from 1 species